rnacentral:miRNA from 1 species
GAGGUGAGAGGAUUGCCUGAGCCCAGGAGGUUGAGGCUGUGGUGAGCUGUGAUCAUGCCACUGCACUCCAGCCUGAGUGACAGAGUGAGACC